AAUGCUGGUAUUUGCUGGAAGCUCAGGAAAUACCCAGAAAAUAGCCUUCACGGUAGCAGGAGAGGGGCUGAUGUUUUCCAUUUCUCUUUGUCUUCUAGAAGCUUUAGAGACAGCUUUGCCUCUCCUGGAUACUUAGGAUUGUCUUCUUUUUAGACUCGUCUCUAAAGCAGUUGAGAUAAUCAGUGUAAAAGAUGAACUAAGAAAAACGGAGUAGCAGCAUUACCUUGAAGGGACAAGGCUGCUGAGGUGAUGAUUCAGCACCGAGGACAGCGACACACAGCCUGGCCAGCUCCAGGAUCUGGUUGUUGACUGGAAGCCUUUGCAUAUGGACUGGAUUCCCUGAAGAGACCCAGUGGAAAGUUAUAUUUGUAUAGUCAUAGCUAGAAGGAUUAAAAAGAGGCUUUUCUUGAAAC